rnacentral:rRNA from 2 species
UACAGAGGGUGCGAGCGUUAAUCGGAAUUACUGGGCGUAAAGCGCGCGUAGGCGGUUUAUUAAGUCGGAUGUGAAAUCCCUGAGCUUAACUUAGGAAUUGCAUUCGAUACUGGUAAGCUAGAGUAUGGGAGAGGAAGGUAGAAUUCCAGGUGUAGCGGUGAAAUGCGUAGAGAUCUGGAGGAAUACCGAUGGCGAAGGCAGCCUUCUGGCCUAAUACUGACGCUGAGGUGCGAAAGCAUGGGGAGCAAACAGG